GACCACGAACGUCUUGCCGGCAAACGGCGGGACGGCGGCGAAAGCCGAAGCGGUAUGAAUCCUGGGGUCGGAGGUUCGAAUCCUCUCGUGGACACCA
rnacentral:tRNA from 2 species